UCGCCAGACUCCUACGGGAGGCAGCAGUGAGGAAUAUUGGUCAAUGGACGAGAGUCUGAACCAGCCAAGUAGCGUGAAGGAUGACUGCCCUAUGGGUUGUAAACUUCUUUUAUAAAGGAAUAAAACGAGGCACGUGUGCCUUUUUGCAUGUACUUUAUGAAUAAGGAUCGGCUAACUCCGUGCCAGCAGCCGCGGUAAUACGGAGGAUGCGAGCGUUAUCCGGAUUUAUUGGGUUUAAAGGGUGCGUAGGCGGGAUGCCAAGUCAGCGGUAAAAAUGCGGUGCUCAACGCCGUCGAGCCGUUGAAACUGGCGUUCUUGAGUGGGCGAGAAGUAUGCGGAAUGCGUGGUGUAGCGGUGAAAUGCAUAGAUAUCACGCAGAACUCCGAUUGCGAAGGCAGCAUACCGGCGCCCUACUGACGCUGAGGCACGAAAGCGUGGGUAUCGAACAGGAUUAGAUACCCGGGUACC
rnacentral:rRNA from 1 species